ACUGCUCAGUAACACGUGGACAACGUGCCUUUAGGUUGGGUAUAAACCCGGGAAACUGGGUAUAAUACCCGAUAGGUCUCGAUUGCUGGAAUGCAUCGAGAUUUAAAGCUCCGGCGCCUAAGGAUGGGUCUGCGGCCUAUCAGGUAGUAGUGGGUGUAGCGUACCUACUAGCCUACGACGGGUACGGGUUGUGAGAGCAAGAGCCCGGAGAUGGAUUCUGAGACACGAAUCCAGGCCCUACGGGGUGCAGCAGGCGCGAAAACUCUACAAUGCUGGCAACAGCGAUAAGGGAACCUCGAGUGCCAGGUUACAAAUCUGGCUGUCGAGAUGCCUAAAAAGCAUUUCAUAGCAAGGGCCGGGCAAGACCGGUGCCAGCCGCCGCGGUAACACCGGCGGCUCGAGUGGUAACCGUUAUUAUUGGGUCUAAAGGGUCUGUAGCCGGCCGGAUAAGUCUCUUGAGAAAUCUGGCAGCUUAACUGUCAGGCUUUCAGGAGAUACUGUCUGGCUCGAGGCCGGGAGAGGUGAGAGGUACUUCAGGGGUAGGGGUGAAAUCUUGUAAUCCUUGAAGGACCACCAGUGGCGAAGGCGUCUCACCAGAACGGACCUGACGGCAAGGGACGAAAGCUAGGGGCACGAACCGGAUUAGAUACCCGGGUAGUCCUAGCCGUAAACGAUACUCGCUAGGUGUCGGCCACGGUGCGACCGUUGUCGGUGCCGUAGGGAAGCCGUGAAGCGAGCCACCUGGGAAGUACGGCCGCAAGGCUGAAACUUAAAGGAAUUGGCGGGGGAGCAC
rnacentral:rRNA from 1 species